rnacentral:rRNA from 1 species
GACGAACGCUGGCGGCGUGCCUAAUACAUGCAAGUAGGACGCACAGCCUAUACCGUAGCUUGCUACACCAUAGGCUGUGAGUUGCGAACGGGUGAGUAACGCGUAGGUAACCUGCCUAUUAGAGGGGGAUAACUAUUGGAAACGAUAGCUAAUACCGCAUAACAGUAUGUAACACAUGUUAGAUGCUUGAAAGAUGCAAUUGCAUCGCUAGUAGAUGGACCUGCGUUGUAUUAGCUAGUAGGUAGGGUAAUGGCCUACCUAGGCAACGAUACAUAGCCGACCUGAGAGGGUGAUCGGCCACACUGGGACUGAGACACGGCCCAGACUCCUACGGGAGGCAGCAGUAGGGAAUCUUCGGCAAUGGGGGGAACCCUGACCGAGCAACGCCGCGUGAGUGAAGAAGGUUUUCGGAUCGUAAAGCUCUGUUGUUAAGGAAGAACGAGUGUGAGAAUGGAAAAGUUUCAUACUGUGACG